ACUCCUGCGGGAGGCAGCAGUGGGGAAUAUUGCACAAUGGGCGCAAGCCUGAUGCAGCCAUGCCGCGUGUAUGAAGAAGGCCUUCGGGUUGUAAAGUACUUUCAGCGGGGAGGAAGGUGUUGAGGUUAAUAACCUCAGCAAUUGACGUUACCCGCAGAAGAAGCACCGGCUAACUCCGUGCCAGCAGCCGCGGUAAUACGGAGGGUGCAAGCGUUAAUCGGAAUUACUGGGCGUAAAGCGCACGCAGGCGGUCUGUCAAGUCGGAUGUGAAAUCCCCGGGCUCAACCUGGGAACUGCAUUCGAAACUGGCAGGCUAGAGUCUUGUAGAGGGGGGUAGAAUUCCAGGUGUAGCGGUGAAAUGCGUAGAGAUCUGGAGGAAUACCGGUGGCGAAGGCGGCCCCCUGGACAAAGACUGACGCUCAGGUGCGAAAGCGUGGGGAGCAAACAGGAUUAGAAACCCGGGUAGUCCCA
rnacentral:rRNA from 1 species